rnacentral:rRNA from 1 species
UACAGAGGGUGCGAGCGUUGUCCGGAAUCACUGGGCGUAAAGGGCGCGUAGGUGGCGACCCAAGUCGAUGGUGAAAGCUCGCCGCUCAACGGCGAGUCGGCCACCGAUACUGGGUUGCUGGAGCACUGUAGAGGCAGAUGGAAUUCCGGGUGUAGCGGUGGAAUGCGUAGAGAUCCGGAGGAACACCGAUGGCGAAGGCAGGUCUCUGGGCAUUAACUGACGGCUGAGGAGCGAAAAGCAUGGGGGA